GCACUAUGGAUUAACAAUGACCUGAGACCAUGGAACUGGGGAGAGGACAAGGGCACUGUGAAUUAGCAAUGACCUGAGACCAUGGAACUGGGGAGAGGACAUGGGCCUCAUAUGGCUUCCUCGGGGUGCCCACACCAAAUACUUGGACUUCAUCUUUGAGGAUGAAAUUGCCCAACAGGACAAGGAUGAAGCAAUCAUGCACCAAAUCCGAACAAAACUAGCACAAUGGUUGAACAAAAAGCUCCCUUUUCUAUCUCAAGUGCUAGUAUUGAAUCAAGUAAUACUCAAGAACAUAUAGUACCUAGCAUCAUGCAACGACAUCCAAUAAAGGGUCCUAAUGAAGAUAAGAGCCUUCAUUCAGAACUUCAUAUGAUUGGGGGACUCGGACAGGAAGACGAGGGCUAGAGUAGCAUGAGACACCACAAUCAUCCUAACGGCCAAAGGAGAUAUAAAGAUAUUUGACCCAAUGGGCCAAAUAAGCCUCUCUUAGCCAAAAUGAUACCAAGAGCCCUAACUCUAGGAGAGGAGUCUUGGAAAUCCCUCAUACUACACAAGAUCCAAAAUACACAGCUCCGCAAAAACAAAAACUAAGGUAAACACGUGGAUUGGAUAUUCACGGCCCCCACAAUAUGGCCAUAAGACUCAAGCCUGUGGCGGGCAACAUGGACGACGUGGGCAACAGUCGAGAAGGAAUUUAUCAAAGUGUUCACGACCUCCCACACUAAAAAGAUGCGCCAACCUUUAUUUUUGAACACAGAAAAGAUUUUAGACGAUAAUGUCAGCCUAGGAGCAGAGGCCAACUCGAGAUUCUUCACAUGGUCCAUGAAUGAGGUCAAUCAAGUGGAAGACAUAUGAGAUGGCCACCGACACAAUUGGCAGAUCGAUCAAAUACUGAGACACAAGACACAAUCCAAGAAGAUUGAAACGCUUACACACAUUGCAUAUGAAUUGAUAAAGUGGAAUCUUACACAAUCCAAUCCCUCGAUUGACAAGAAAUAGGUAACGGUGGGCUGCGAGGCUCCGAUCUAUCACACAACAAGAAGCAAAUCCAAAAGAUGGAAGGCCUCGUGAUAUAUAAGAGCAAUCAGAACCAACCGACUCGACAAGACCAACAAUCAUAUUAUGGUACUCACAGAUGCAACAGAAGAAGCGAAGAUAUUCAUAAGAAACCAAUUGGGCAAGGUAGUAGAAUUCAACCCAACCGACCCCCUGGACAUGACUUAUACGACAUGAAUGUAGGGAAAAAGGCUCAUGAAAAGCCUCGAGAUUGACCCAAAGGAAUGGACGUGGUGCAAACGGGGCCUAAUACCAAUUGAAAAACUAUUCAACUACACAACAAAGAGAGAUUACAAAACCAUCCUAAUGCAACAAUGCAGAUAGAUGGAAUUCGAUAGGACUAUGGCAAGCCGAGGCUUCUCCUCAAUCCAACGAAUACAAUACUUUGCCAGACUUUGGCACCCCUGGCUCCCCCUCAAGAUAUCCGCCAUGGUGUGGCUCUUGAUUGCAGAAGGUCUCUCCAUCGGACAAUGAAGGCACAAAAUACAACAAGAUGGCUACUAUAGCCUUUGUACCAGCAGGAUCUUAAAAAUAGCAGAGCAUGCAUUCUUUGCGUGCUUGCAAGUCGUGCCGAUUUGGAAAAAAUAUGCGAUCGCCAAGAGACUCUCAAACCCAAUUACUUUGAAUACCACGUAGGAGACUGACCUCCACGACACCUUUUCAAUCCCCCCCCCCCCCAAAUGGAAACCGAUCCUCCGCCCCGAAUUCCUCCCCAGGGACCUAGCCAACUGACUCCAGACCAUCCCUACACCCACCGCAAGCCGGAUGCAAUUAUAAGAGGAACCCGGAAACGAAGCCUCAC
rnacentral:lncRNA from 1 species